GGGUGUUACUUUUUCUAAUAAUUGUCAGUACAUAUAGAUAACCUUUGCUGUAGUGCCAUUAAACAGAUUUUUUUUCUGAGAAAAUUGAAAUUUAUUCUUAACAGAAACAAUCUUAAUAAGAUACUAGAACACACCCGUGAUAUCGCGGGUCCGUGAACGAAUUAAAGUAUACAACUUUGCGUAAGCCUUAUUUUAGUAUUGGAAUUGUCAUCUGAUGAAGUCAUGCCGAUUAUAAGAUGCAGUUUUCUCUGCUUUCAAAAUCUUUCUGUUUGAACCCGUCGACCUGGAACUUAUCAAUUAUUGGUAAUAUUAAUUACUUUGGAAAACAAAAGGUCCUGAAAUGGAGUAUUUUCUUAUCAACAGCAUUGUCCUAUAUUAGUUAUAAAUAAAGUUGAAUUCUUUGAUUAGUAUUCGUAUGCGUCUUUGAACUAGCUUUCAGUAGCUGCGAGUAUGCGUUGUUAAAUAAUUUGUGUCUUAAUGUUAUUAAUUCAUGUGAUAAAUUGUUGUGUUGUUACACCACUGUACCAAUGAAGGAGGAAAGGAGGAGGGGUUGGUUGGAUGGAGUUGCGAGAGGUGUGUGAAACGCACAUUUAACUGAAGUAAACUAGUCAAACCUUAAUGUCAAUAUAAGACCCCCUCUUAUAAAUGUCGCUUUAUUUUAAGCACCUUUUAAAACUGUUUAAGUUAACAUAUUUUGUAGAGAAUCAUCAAUUCAAGGGCAUUUAAUAUCUUAAAUAAAACAAUUCUAAUUAGAUACAUUUUCAUCUGAUAUUGGACGGAAGAUGUUGCCCAUUUAUG
rnacentral:lncRNA from 1 species